rnacentral:rRNA from 1 species
UACGUAGGGGGGCAAGCGUUGUCCGGAUUUAUUGGGCGUAAAGAGCGUGUAGGCGGUUUGGUAGGUCCGUUGUGAAAACUCGAGGCUCAACCUCGAGACGCCGAUGGAAACCAUCAGACUAGAGUCCGGAAGAGGAGAGUGGAAUUCCUGGUGUAGCGGUGAAAUGCGCAGAUAUCAGGAAGAACACCCGUGGCGAAGGCGGCUCUCUGGAACGCAACUGACGCUGAGACGCGAAAGCGUGGGGAGCAAACAGG